rnacentral:rRNA from 1 species
UACGUAGGGGUGCAAGCGUUUAAUCGGAAUUACUGGGCGUAAAGCGUGCGCAGGCGGUUUUGUAAGUUUGUCGUGAAAGCCCCGGGCUCAACCUGGGAAUUGCGAUGAAGACUGCAAGGCUUGAAUCUGGCAGAGGGGGGUAGAAUUCCACGUGUAGCAGUGAAAUGCGUAGAGAUGUGGAGGAACACCGAUGGCGAAGGCAGCCCCCUGGGUCAAGAUUGACGCUCGAUGCACGAAAGCGUGGGGAGCAAAC